rnacentral:rRNA from 1 species
GUCCACGCCGUAAAACGAUGUCGAUUUGCAGGCUGUGUCCUUGAGACGUGGCUUCCGGAGCUAACGCGUUAAAUCGACCGCCUGGGGAGUACGGCCGCAAGGUUAAAACUCAAAUGAAUUGACGGGGGCCCGCACAAGCGGUGGAGCAUGUGGUUUAAUUCGAUGCAACGCGAAGAACCUUACCUGGCCUUGACAUGUCUGGAAUCCUGCAGAGAUGCGGGAGUGCCUUCGGGAAUCAGAACACAGGUGCAGCAUGGCUGUCGU